AAUGGUUUAAGAGAGCUUUCUUCAGUCCACUCAUGGACGGGCGAAGGGUUUGGAUUAGCUGCCGACUCAUUCAUUCAAACACAGUAGAAAUUAAGGGAGCAGUAUGGCUGCUAUUGUGAAUGUGUGAAUGAUGCGGGAGAUAAAUUUCAUCCUUUUCUUCUCUGUGCUUGGACUGAAGGGAGCUCCCUUUAAUCGUUUA
rfam:Populus trichocarpa scaffold_13_contig_337, whole genome shotgun sequence.